AUUGAACGCUGGCGGCAUGCCUUACACAUGCAAGUCGAACGGCAGCAUGGGAGCAAUCCUGGUGGCGAGUGGCGAACGGGUGAGUAAUAUAUCGGAACGUGCCCAGUCGUGGGGGAUAACGUAGCGAAAGCUACGCUAAUACCGCAUACGAUCUAUGGAUGAAAGCGGGGGAUCGCAAGACCUCGCGCGAUUGGAGCGGCCGAUAUCAGAUUAGGUAGUUGGUGAGGUAAAGGCUCACCAAGCCGACGAUCUGUAGCUGGUCUGAGAGGACGACCAGCCACACUGGGACUGAGACACGGCCCAGACUCCUACGGGAGGCAGCAGUGGGGAAUUUUGGACAAUGGGCGCAAGCCUGAUCCAGCAAUGCCGCGUGCAGGAUGAAGGCCUGG
rnacentral:rRNA from 1 species